rnacentral:rRNA from 1 species
GGGACACGUGGUAUCCUGUCUGAAUAUGGGGGGACCAUCCUCCAAGGCUAAAUACUCCUGACUGACCGAUAGUGAACCAGUACCGUGAGGGAAAGGCGAAAAGAACCCCGGCGAGGGGAGUGAAAAAGAACCUGAAACCGUGUACGUACAAGCAGUGGGAGCCUCUUAAUGGGGUGACUGCGUACCUUUUGUAUAAUGGGUCAGCGACUUAUAUUCUGUAGCAAGGUUAACCGAAUAGGGGAGCCGAAGGGAAACCGAGUCUUAACUGGGCGUUAAGUUGCAGGGUAUAGACCCGAAACCCGGUGAUCUAGCCAUGGGCAGGUUGAAGGUUGGGUAACACUAACUGGAGGACCGAACCGACUAAUGUUGAAAAAUUAGCGGAUGACUUGUGGCUGGGGGUGAAAGGCCAAUCAAACCGGGAGAUAGCUGGUUCUCCCCGAAAGCUAUUUAGGUAGCGCCUCGUGAAUUCAUCUCCGGGGGUAGAGCACUGUUUCGGCAAGGGGGUCAUCCCGACUUACCAACCCGAUGCAAACUGCGAAUACCGGAGAAUGUUAUCACGGGAGACACACGGCGGGUGCUAACGUCCGUCGUGAAGAGGGAAACAACCCAGACCGCCAGCUAAGGUCCCAAAGUCAUGGUUAAGUGGGAAACGAUGUGGGAAGGCCCAGACAGCCAGGAUGUUGGCUUAGAAGCAGCCAUCAUUUAAAGAAAGCGUA